CCUACGGGGGGCAGCAGUGGGGAAUAUUGGACAAUGGGGGGAACCCUGAUCCAGCCAUGCCGCGUGUGUGAAGAAGGCCCUCGGGUUGUAAAGCACUUUCAGUGAGGAAGAACGCCUGGUGGUUAAUACCCAUCAGGAAAGACAUCACUCACAGAAGAAGCACCGGCUAACUCCGUGCCAGCAGCCGCGGUAAUACGGAGGGUGCGAGCGUUAAUCGGAAUUACUGGGCGUAAAGCGCGCGUAGGUGGCUUGAUAAGCCGGGUGUGAAAGCCCCGGGCUCAACCUGGGAACGGCAUCCGGAACUGUCAAGCUAGAGUGCAGGAGAGGAAGGUAGAAUUCCCGGUGUAGCGGUGAAAUGCGUAGAGAUCGGGAGGAAUACCAGUGGCGAAGGCGGCCUUCUGGACUGACACUGACACUGAGGUGCGAAAGCGUGGGUAGCAAACAGGAUUAGAUACCCCUGUAGUC
rnacentral:rRNA from 1 species